rnacentral:lncRNA from 1 species
GUUCCAUUUGAAUUAAUAAAAACAACGCUGUCGCCUUUCUUGUUCUCAUAGAAUCAUAUGAUAUGAGCUCCAUGUUUUGUGAACGUCUUUCUGAACUGUCGUAUUAGACUGACAAGUGCAUAUCGCGCAUGGCACUUUAAAUGUAUUUUAGCGCGAAAAUUAACUUACAUUUAGCUGGAAAUAUUGCCGUCGUAGUUCCAUCUUGUCGCCUUCGUACUUUUAUUCGAUGGCAACACGACGGGAUUAUGAGGUCUUCACGAAGUCGUGUUGCCAUCGUAAGACCUUCGGGUAGCUUCGUGAUUCAUUCGUGUAGACAUCGUAAUGUCAAAACUGCCCGAUGGAAACGAUAGAAACACGAAUGCAAUACGAUGUUCAAAGAUGCAUUCCCGGUGACAUUACGAUGGUGAGGAUGGUGAUACGAACUCAAUAUAUACGAACCCUCAACAUCGGACGCACCUUCGGGGAUUUUUUAACAUGUUAAAAAAUUUAGAACCCUUCCCGAAGUUGUCCCCGAAGGCUAGAAAAAGUGGCCGAU